rnacentral:rRNA from 1 species
GUGCCAGCAGCCGCGGUAACACGUAGGAGACGAGCGUUAUCCGGAUUUACUGGGCGUAAAGCGCGUGCAGGCGGUUCAGCAAGUUGGAUGUGAAAGCUCCCGGCUUAACUGGGAGAGGUCGUUCAAAACUACUGGACUAGAGAGUGGUAGAGGGAGGUGGAAUUCCGGGUGUAGUGGUGAAAUGCGUAGAUAUCCGGAGGAACACCAGUGGCGAAAGCGGCCUCCUGGACCAUUUCUGACGCUCAGACGCGAAAGCUAGGGUAGCAAACGGGAUUAGAGACCCCGGUAGUCCUAGCCGUAAACGAUGUAGACUUGGCGUUGGUGGUGUUAAAUCCAUCAGUGCCGAAGCUAACGCGAUAAGUCUACCGCCUGGGGACUACGGCCGCAAGGUUAAAACUCAAAGGAAUUGACGGGACCCCGCACAAGCAGCGGAGCGUGUGGUUUAAUUCGAUGAUACACGAAGAACCUUACCAGGGUUUGACAUGUUGGUGGUAGGGAUCCGAAAGGUGACCGACCCUUCGGGGAGCCUUCACAGGUGCUGCAUGGCUGUCGUCAGCUCGUGUCGUGAGAUGUUCGGUUAAGUCCGCUAACGAGCGCAACCCUCGCUGUGUGUUACAUGUGUCACACGGGACUGCCGGUAACAAGCCGGAGGAAGGUGAGGAUGAUGUCAAGUCAGCAUGGCCUUUAUAUCCUGGGCUACACACACGCUACAAUGGGCAGUACAAUAGGUUGCGAAGCCGCGAGGCGAAGCCAAUCCCUAAAGCUGUCCUCAGUUCAGAUUGCAGGCCGCAACCCGCCUGCAUGAAGAUGGAGUUGCUAGUAACCGCAGGUCAGCUAUACUGCGGUGAAUACGUUCCCGGGGUUUGUACACACCGCCCGUCACGUCAUGGGAGCUGGUAACACCUGAAGCCGGUAGCCUAACCCGUAAGGGAGGGCGCUGUCGAGGGUGGGACUGGUGACUGGGACGAAGUCGUAACAAGGUAACC